GUGUUGGAAUAGAACCUAGUAGGCACGUUUUAGCGAAACCGAUGGUUCCUCUCCAUUAGGUACAGGACCAGUUAAGGUCCGGCAGCCUCGGAGCCCCUCGAGCUUGACCCCGGAAAUCUGUUUGAUUUUGUAAUGCGAACAACUCAUGUAGAGUUGUGACGUGCACAAUUUUGCCGAGAGUAGAGAGGCCCAACGGACUUCACAUCUACUAAGCCCGUUAUAAUAUUUUUGCAAAAAGUGAUUGUGUGUUGGAAUAGAACCUAGUAGGCACGUUUUAGCGAAACCGAUGGGUCCUUUCCAUUAGAUACAGGACCAAUUAAGAUCCGGCACCUCAGGGCCCUCGAGCUUGACCCCGGAAAUCCAUUUGAUUUUGUAACGCUAACAACUCAUGUAGAGUUGUGACGUGCUCAAUUUUGCCGAGUAGAGAGGCCCAACGGACUUCACAUCUACUAAGCACAUUAUCAACAUCCAAUCACUUUAAUGCCCCACUUGGUUACAAGCCCACGUUACAAGGCUCGGC
rnacentral:lncRNA from 1 species